rfam:Ictidomys tridecemlineatus contig024734, whole genome shotgun sequence.
GGGGUUAGAGCUCAGAGGUAGAGCACUUGCUUAGUAUGCCUGAGAUCCUGGGUUUGACUCCCAGCACCCCA